GGGACGCCCGACCCAAGCCCUGCAGUCCACGCGCGUCUGGGGUGUCUGCUGGAAGCUGGAAAGUCGAAGAUCACUUCCCAUCCUGCUUCUGCUGUGCUUUGGGGUUGAAAAAGCCAUUAUGUGGUAAAAAGUGUCUGAAAAGUGGCAAAAGUCUUCAAGGGCCUGAAAAUGACUGAGACAGGAACUGAGAAGCUGGCAGGAGGUCCUGCUACGGCUGUAGGGUCGGCGGGUGUCCUGGGUGGGCCACGCGGCAGGGACAGCCGUGGCUCCACGCCCACCCCACCCGUGAGGGGCCAAGCGCAGACUCGGGGGAGUCAGAGGGGCCGGGCCCCUGAGCGAGGGCUGGGGAAGGAUCCCAAGCUUGGGUACUUGGGAAUGAGGAUGUGUUAUUUCACCCACCGACUCGUUCCACACGACCAAGGCCUGUGUCUGCCCUGAGGGUGAGUUGGUUGAGCCUUGUACAGUCGACUAUCAGAGCGUGAGCCUGGGCUGAACUUUUCCCUGUGAGCAGCAGCAGCAGCAGCAGAGUCUAGAAGGACGGCCCUCCCUGUCCACGGUGGAAGGUGCGGAGCUCCGGUGGUGUGCUGGCAGCCGCUCGCAGAAGGGAGAUGGAGGAGCACAGAGCAGGCCCUCGCACGGAGUCUUCGAGGUCCAGGGACACCUUCCUCCCAGGAGUGUGUGUACAGUGAUUGCUCGCUGCCAUAACAGUCACAGAUCUACAUGUGUCCUCUGACUCAGCUGGGGCUCCAUCGAGGUCUGUUCUGGACUCACCUGCAUGACCCCUGGGCUCAGCUUCCUCGUCUGAGAAGCAUCAGGACAGGCCUUCCCAUCCCCACGUUCCCAAGGCUUCCACACUCCUUUCUGGCCACGAGUCAGUCCUCAGUGGACGACCAGUGGCCUAGGGUGGGCCCCUGAUUCCCUCACCUGUCCUCAUGGGGCUGAACCUCACUCUUCUCCGCCAAAACCAACCAAUGAACAAAUAAACAAACAAGCAUGGACUUCCUAAAAA